GUGUAACAGUUAAAAAAGACACUUUAAUAAUUCUUAUUUCCAAUUUGUGUUUGUGAAUUUUAUCUCAAUGAGGAACUUUUAUUCAUGAAUGUUUCCUGUGGAAAUGACCUUGCUGCACAUCGUCCCUUCUGUCCCUCACAGAGCUGUUUUGCAUUGCUGAGGGAGCAGAUGUGCAGGAGAGACCAGAAGGUGAUUCAUAUGUGUUACAUUGUCUUCUGCAGGAGCAAAUAAAGGCUGGAAACCAA